rnacentral:rRNA from 1 species
ACGAACGCUGGCGGCGUGCUUAACCCCUGCAAGUCGAACGGAAAGGCCCCUUUGGGGGUACUCGAGUGGCGAACGGGUGAGUAACACGUGAGUAACCUGCCCUUGACUUCGGGAUAACUUCAGGAAACUGGGGCUAAUACCGGAUAGGAAUCCUUGCUGCAUGGUGGGGGUUGGAAAGCUUCGGCGGUUUUGGAUGGACUCGCGGCUUAUCAGCUUGUUGGUGGGGUAGUGGCUUACCAAGGCUUUGACGGGUAGCCGGCCUGAGAGGGCGACCGGCCACAUUGGGACUGAGAUACGGCCCAGACUCCUACGGGAGGCAGCAGUGGGGAAUAUUGCACAAUGGGCGGAAGCCUGAUGCAGCAACGCCGCGUGCGGGAUGACGGCCUUCGGGUUGUAAACCGCUUUCAGCAGGGGCGAAGCUUUUGUGACGGUACCUGCAGAAGAAGCACCGGCUAACUACGUG